AAGGUGUACCUGCAUUAUUAUGCCAUUAUUAGAUGAAAAUUGUCUCAGAACGACAAUAUUAUCGUUUAUUGCAAUAAAUUCUGGGACAAUUUAUCGUCCAGCAAAAUUUGUUAUCGUGACAGGCCUAAACGCCAGCACAAUCAAGUCUUACACCAGGCUAUGCACUGGGUUUUUUUAAGAUUAUUUUGGGGGCUUUUCCCUUUAUUUUAAAGUGGAUAGAUAUGAAAGGGGGAGAGAGAUGGGGGAGGACAGCAAGUCGGAUCUGAACCCUGCGCCGCUGCAGGACUCAACAUGGGGUGAACGCUCUUAAUGGGUGAGCUAGAGGCCGCCCAACUUUUAGUUGCAGUUGUUUUGCGUUCCACUGUCAGUCAAAUUGAGUUGGAUGUAUGAAUAGCAUCUACAUUCAGUAUUCUGUGAACUCCAGUGUAACAGAGUCAAUGGACAGUAAAGCUUCCUCUGGCUAUAACCUCCACUAUACUUCUUUGCUUUGCCAUCCCAGCAUUUUGAAAAUGGCUCCAUAAUAACACACUAUGAAACCAUUAAGAGCUACUUUCACACAACACACUUAAACCACAAGCAUCAUCUCUCUUUCUCUCAUUCACUCUGUCCUUCUGUACGACUCUCUCUGGUCUUCCUAAAUAAACCACAGACAGAUUAAGGCACAGCUGGACACACUGUGCAUUCCUGAAGUGUCAAGCUAAACCAUGCUUUUAACCCUUAUUCAGCCAGGUGGCUAGUGUUAUGGAAUAAAUCAGAAGUAUUCAUGUACAGUAAUACUGUAUGUGAAAUUUCCACUUUUGUAGAUAAAGAUAUGUUGAGUCUUAUAGAUGUGAUUGUGGAGAUGAACUCCCUUUAGUCCAGGAACUGUUGCUAAUGUGAACACUGUAGUGUCCGUCCUGUAGAUUGAUGUUACACUGUCAAAUGAUAAUAAGUCUACAGUGGAGGCACACACAGCAGGGGCAGCAGCCUAAAGGGAUUUAUGCUUCUGCGGAGGUUCCACGCAGAGCUUUCGCCGUAGCCUACGUGAGUGGACUACUAAGAAUUGCAGGGCCGGCAUGUGUUGUGUGCAUUGGGAGUGUGUGUGUAGAGCAAGUGAGAGAGUGACGGUUAUUUACUUCGGCGCGAUUACAGACUCUAUAGGCAUAGAUGGAGAAACAAAGUGUCUCCCCUGUGCUUUUUUGACAAAGGUGGGAAAUCUGUAGCAGGAAAAGUUAACCCUCUCCUUGAUUUCAUGUUGUUUAUGGAGAAGGAGAACCAGGAAAUGAGUUGGGGGAAAUGCAACGCUACAAAGCCGCGGCCGAGCGGACCAAUCAUGGUUGUUUUUGCGAUCUGCUUCGUCUCAACGUGUAGUUAAAUUUUUUGAGAGGUGCACAUCAGGUUACGGCGAGGGUCCGUAUCUUUACGUACGUACCCACGCCGUCGAUUUAUCGCAGAAGUAUAAAUUGGCAUUUAGCAACAGAAAAGGCAUAAAGCAUAAACUUCCAUAAGUGGGAAGUGCCAAGUUGGAUUUAUUGGAGUUUUCCCGUCAUAAUUAUGCCUUGGAUGUUGACGCCAAUGCUAUUUAGAAGUCAGAAACGGGUGACAUAGUAACUCCAAUAUGACUUGAACACGGCAGAAUCUACAGAACACAUAAGGCAAAAUAUAUUGUAUGCCGAAGACAUUAACCUUUAUGUUAGCUGACCCAGACAUCAGUUGUGCAAGCAGACCUAACAAAACAAGCUUGAUUUAAAGUAUGAAUCUGGGUGUUCUACCUCCGAGGAAUCAGUGACUCCAGAGUCCUUCCACUGUAAUGACACACUAAGUAUACUGUAAUUAAAUAGGUAAUAACAGACAGAUACUGUUGAUGCUUCAGCAGAAACCUCAGUCAGUAUGUUAUAAAUGGGAUUCAUAAUAAUAACUGUAGCAUUGCUCAUUAAUAUCUACAGUGAGACACCAUUUCUACUGUUCAAAUUCAUUCUUCAAGUGGUCUGAAGGGUUAAUGGCCUUUUGUUCUGACUCCCAGCAGAGACUCUGCUCACUGUACAGCUGUGAGAUCUGGAUUUAAUAAAGCAAUUCAAUCACAUGAGUUUAUUUGGAAUAUUUAGAAGAGGUUAAACUGUGUGUGUGUGUGUGUGUGUGUGUGUGUGUGUGUGUGUGUGUGCGUGUGCGUGCGUGUGCGUGUGCGUGUGUACAAGAGUGGGCGGGUUAUUCUUCUGCAAAUAGAUUUUCAAAGGUAAAAUUGAAAACAACUUUAUCGUGUUAUCGCAUCAAAAUGCCAUUAUAUCAAGGGUUUAAUGGGUCCUGGAGAUCCCUGAACUGUUUUUCUGUUUCUGUGGUACCCUGGGAAAAAUACAAACAAUAACUGCCCCGGUGUUUUGUAGAAAUGUACAACAGCUGAGACUGAUCACCUGAACUGAUGAUCAGGGUGACUGAUUGGUGUUUGGUAACUGCUAGUGAAGGGGUGUAUAACUUUUUACUAACUUUUCCGAUCCAGUCCUCAAAUCUAACCCAUAUUUCUGUCAUGGUGCUGUCUGUUUUCCCUCUCCCCUCUCCCUUGUUUUUUGUCUGUCAUGUGCUGAGUGGGUGUGGCGCUCCUGGCUCUCUCCCUCCUCGUCGAGACACCUGUGGCUUCCUGUUCACCUGAUUCACAUCCAGCAAUCACCUCUCCUGUUUUAAAACCCCAGCCUUCCAACCAGUCUCUGCCAGAUCGUCCGUUCACCUAAGUGAUUCCCACUACAGCCCUGGAAGCCCAGUCUGCCUGUCUGAGCCUUGUUCUUCUCUCAAACCUGUUUCUCACCUGUCUGCCCGCUCUCAGCCCCAGGGGAUAUCCAGCACCUGCAUUACUCAUUUUUUGUGUUCAAUAAACCUCAACCUUUUCGUGUCUGUGCUUGAA